GGUGUUUACUCACUUGCAGUUUCUAAAUCUGCCUGGAUCCAAGAAUUUUCUGACAGUGUGAUGUGUGGAUCUAGUGAGCUGAGGUACGGCCCCGGCCCUCUGGUGCGGUCUCCUUCCCCGCGGAACCCCGCCGGCAGCCACACGUCCAGGAACCGCUCUGGGACACCCUUGCCACCACCUCCUUCCGCACGCCCCGCCAAAGCGGGGGUCGGGACGCCCCCCGCGGCCGCAGCUGCCACGUCCUGGCUGCCGGGGAGACAGAAGGGCACUCGCUGCAGAACGAGCUCCUCUUGUACCGGCGCUUUUCAAUUUGCAAGCUACAGGAAAUGAUGCUUGAAUACUGCUGAAGAGAGAGAACAAGAAUUCCUCCUCCAACAGAACAUGCUUUGUUUAGCUCCAGUAAUACCACAGUCUCAGAAGGAGAAUGACCUGUGAAAUUUGAACCUCCUUGGAUCUGUUUCUUCCAGCAAGAGAAUACAAAAGGGAUGUACUGUGCUGGAGGUUCUGACAAUAGUGUGCCAUCCCCUUCCUGCCUGGGAAGCAGAAAGAGAGCAUGGGGUGCUGUUGUGAUUAUGACCUUUGGCAAGCUGAGAUGCAAGGCACCCCGUAGGAAUUUCCUCCAGCUCAAAGGAUUCCCAAAGAAACAAAGAAGGAAACUCACAUGACUAUUGUCAGAAGCACAGUGUCAUAUACAGACCUGAAGGCACUGUUUAGAGAAAGGGAAGCUAGCCAGCCCUGACUGCAGCACUUACUGUGGCCUUGCACAGGACACUCCAUGUCUUUUUCCUGA